UACCUUAUCUUUUUUGGCCGGCUCACUCCCUACUUCUCUUUUCUUUCUUUUUCUUCUUUUUCAUUUUCGGUAGAACACUCUCUACUCUCAUCCUCUCCACCGGCACUUCCACACCACCACCAUCAUUUUCCGGCAAGAUUACUAGAAAAUUCUUGGGAACCUAUAAACACCUUCACAUCCUUUUUUGAGGUUUGCUUGAUAUUGUUGAGGUUCUAGCUAAUCUCCUUUGGAGCUUGGAGAAUUAGGCUUUUGCGGUUGCAAGGUAAGUAGCUUUUUAAUGGGAUUUUUGGAAAAUAAUCAUGUUGCAUAAACAUUAUUUUUGGGUCAAACACAUUUUGGAAAAUUAAUGGUGGAACUAUGUUUUUCUAAAAGGUGUUGUGUUGUGACCCUACUAUAUAUGAUUAUAUAUGAAAAUGCAUCAUAUUUGGUAUUGCAUUUGGGGAAAUGCAUAGAUUGUUGAUAUGAAAAAAUGAGCAUCUUUUAUUUAAUCUUUGAUAAGAAAAUCUUAGAUUUUAUAGUAUAUUAGAAAAUUUAAAGAUGCUUAUCUUGUCUUGUUAUGUGGGAAAUUGUUAGAAAAUCCUUUGACAAGAAUGAAGUUGAAAACCUUACAAACUUUGUGGAAGUUAGAUUAUUUAAGGUUUUUCUGAAACUAUCUGGUUUUAAACUAUAUAUUUGAAAGGAAAUGUAUACUGUGAGCUUUAUGUGGUUUUGACACCAUGCCAUGUGUGAUUUCCUGGUAAUCACCUGAUUUGGUUUCCGUAGUCUUUGUGACAAUGGAAUCAAAUCCAGGUCAGUGCUCUUUCACUUUGGAUGACGCGUUCUUCCCUGCUGCCCAUGGGGGGAAGAAGUUCUUUGAUUGUGUGUGGAUGAGGCUGCUGCCCAUGGGGCCAAGAGACCACAUGCAAGAGAGGUCAUAUUUGACGCGCUCUUUCUGCUGCCCAUGGGGGGAGAGAAAACCUUGAGGGUAUAGGUGAGGCUGCUGUCCAUGGGGCCAAGAGUCUGCAUACCAGAGAGGACAAUAUCAUGCCAGUUGUGAAUGGGUGGAUCCCCUGACCGAUUUAUGUGGUAAUAUGGUAUAUUUAUGAUAAAUUACCGUAUGUUAGAUUUUAUGGCUUUGGAAAUUAUAUGCUUAGUGCUCACAGAUUAUAGCAUAUAGUUUCAAGGUAUUUACUUUGAGAAACUUUGUGUUUCAUUAUUCAAUCAUUCUUGUCAUUUCAUAUUAUUAUUAUUGAAGAUGAAACUUGCAUUUCCCCCACCCCCAUUAAUUAUACUACUUACUGGGCUUUAGCUCAUCCCAAUCUUUCACAGUCUUACAGAUUAAUUAGCUAUAUCAUGGGAAUGGAGCUUGCCUUAUCGGUAGUGAUUGGAGUUUUAUGCUUAAUUAGGAGACUUACAUUACUAAUGGUUGGUGACUCGAUCUUGCUAUGUUCAAUGAGACAUUAAUUAAUUCUAUUGGAGGUUGGUCACUUGAGGUUUGUUAGCCUUAGGCGUGGUAGGCCUAGACUCGAUAUUAAGAUUCCUUAUCCUUGAUAAGAUUGUGAUUUUGUGUAAUCCAAGAGUUUUGUAAUAUAUGUUCAUGUAUUAUGUGGAAGCACAUGAUUUUUAGUUCUUGUUCAUAAAUGUGUUAUAGAGCUCUGAUUUGUAA